AAGGGCACCACAAGAACGCGUGGAGCAUGUGGCUUAAUUUGACUCAACGCGGGAAAUCUUACCGGGUCCGGACACACUGAGGAUUGACAGGCAAUAUUAAUUUCUGCCAUUCGUGGCGUUUUUAUGUUAAAUAUGCUAGUCCUUUCAUGAUUAUGUGAUAGGUGGUGCAUGGCCGUUCUUAGUUCGUGGAGUGAUCUGUCUGCUUAAUUGCGUUUCACUAAGGGCCUAUAAUUUAACGUGUGUUGCGGCACUUUGACCCCUCCUCGGAGCGUGUGUCUUAGCUUGUUUAGCUCACACAAUUAGGUCCUGAAAGCAACGAACGUGACCGCAACCUCUUGUUGCCUUUAUACCAAACACGUUUUGUUCUCUUCACAGAGCAGCAUUUCGUGAAAAAAGGCUUUUUAAACUAGAGGGACCGCUGUUACUUUCUUAAACCAGAGGAAGGUUGCGGCAAUAACAGGUCUGUGAUGCCCUUAGAUGUUCCGGGCUGCACACGUGCUACAAUGAUUAUUGCAGUGAGCAUCUCAUUUUUUACACACCGCAUUCACGAGUCCAUUUAUUCAUUCCUUCGGGUUUGCUUUAAAUGUGCAUCUCUGUGAGCGGUAAAGCCUGCUUCGAAAGUAAGUGGGUAAUCAAUUAGAAGUAAUGAUUUCCUUUUUUUCAGCACACAUAUAUACGACGUUUAUACCCGGGCUGUCCUUGUUGAUAGCUUUUGUGUGUAUAGAUGUUUUUUCCGUAUGUGCAAUUGUCAAUUCAUGGUGGGGACAGACCAUUGUUAAUUGUUGGUCUCGGUCUUAACUAGGAAUGCCUUGUACGGGUCUUUGGUUCAACAAACCACCCGGAAUACGUCCCUGCCCUUUGUACACACCACCCGUCGCUCUUACCGAUGGACUUCUCUGUGAGUUUGAGGGACUGGGAACGCAGGUUCUUUUUAUUAAGAGUCUGCACACCUAUGGAAACUUAAACGAACAGUGUGGUCUAAAGGAAAGAGAAGUCGUAACAAGGCAUCGGUAGGUGAACCUGCAGAAGGAUCA
rnacentral:rRNA from 1 species